AGAGGCCGACACAAAGUGUGGCGCAUGUGGUUAUAUUCGAACAAACGAGAAGAACCUUUCCAGGUCUUGACAUCCUCUGACAACCCUAGAGAUAGGGCUUUCCCUUCGGGGACAGAGUGACAGGUGGUGCAUGGUUGUCCUCAGCUCGUGGCGUGAGAUGUUGGGUUAAGUCCCGCAACGAGCGCAACCCUUGAUCUUAGUUGCCAGCUUUCAGUGAGACCCUUUAAGGUGACUGCCGGUGACAAACUCUCGGAGGAGAGUGGGGAUGACGUCAAAUCAUCAUGCCCCUUAUGACCUGGGCUACCCACGUGCUCCAAUGGCCAGAACAAAGGGCUGCAAGACCCCAAGGUUUAACCAAUCCCAUAAAUCUGUUCUCAGUUCGGAUCGCAUGUCGGCAACUCGACUGCGUGAAGCUGGAAUCUCUAGUAAUCGCCACAGACAUGCCGCGGUGAUUUCUUUCCCGGCUCUUGCAAAAAAAAACAGAGAAAUG
rnacentral:rRNA from 1 species